UACGAAGGGUGCAAACGUUGCUCGGAAUUAUUGGGCGUAAAGCGCACGUAGGCGGCUUUGCAAGUCCCAUGUGAAAUCCCACGGCUCAACCGUGGAAGUGCAUGGGAAACUGCAGAGCUUGAGUACUUAAGAGGAUCGCGGAAUUCCCGGUGUAGAGGUGAAAUUCGUAGAUAUUCGCAAGAACACCAGUGGCGAAGGCGGCUCACUGGCCCGGUACUGACGCUGAGGUGCGAAAGCGUGGGGAGCAAACAGG
rnacentral:rRNA from 1 species